GACAGAGGUGCCGAGCGUUAGGCGGAAUCACUGGGCUUAAAGCGUGUGUAGGCGGCGUUGUAAGUCCCUUGUGAAAUCCCACGGCUCAACCGUGGAACUGCUUGGUAUACUGCGAUGCUUGAGCCACUUAGGGGCUACCGGAACAAAUGGUGGAGCGGUGAAAUGCGUAGAUAUCAUUUGGAACGCCAAUGGUGAAAACAGGUAGCUGGGAGUGUGCUGACGCUGAGACACGAAAGCCAGGGGAGCGAACGGG
rnacentral:rRNA from 1 species